GGGUCGUUAGCUCAGUCGGUAGAGCAGUUGGCUUUUAACCAAUCAGUCGAAUGGUUCUAAUCCUUAAUGACACACCA
rnacentral:tRNA from 1 species